rnacentral:rRNA from 1 species
AUGGAGAAGGUGAAUAACCUGCUGCAGGGCCUGAAGCUGUCGGAGGCGGAGAAGAAAGGAGUGAAGAUCGGUGGGAGGGGAUCUGGGAAGAUUGGAAUGGAACCAAGAGCCAUGGCUAAAUUGUUCUCUGAGAAGCCGGCACAUGCAGAUGCGCUGGCCCAGGCGCUAGGGAAGGCAUGGAGUCCGAUGAGAGGGGUAAGUUGCAAGGAUUUGAGAGGGAACAUCUUCCUGUUUACUUUUAAACAGGAAUCAGAGAAAAGAAAGGCGUUGGAAGGGGGCCCCUGGACGUUUGAUAAAGAUUUGCUGCUACUAGAAGAGUUUGAUCCGUCUAAAAGGAUUGAGGACUAUGAAUUUCGGCAUGUGCAAAUGUGGGUGCGGGUGUUUAAUCUGCCUCUUGGGGACAUGCAUAGGGACAAUGGAGAGGUG